rnacentral:rRNA from 1 species
GUGGGGAAUAUUGGACAAUGGGGGGAACCCUGAUUCAGCCAUGCCGCGUGUGUGAAGAAGGCCUUUUGGUUGUAAAGCACUUUAAGCGAGGAGGAGGCUACCGAGAUUAAUACUCUUGGAUAGUGGACGUUACUCGCAGAAUAAGCACCGGCUAACUCUGUGCCAGCAGCCGCGGUAAUACAGAGGGUGCAAGCGUUAAUCGGAUUUACUGGGCGUAAAGCGCGCGUAGGUGGCCAAUUAAGUCAAAUGUGAAAUCCCCGAGCUUAACUUGGGAAUUGCAUUCGAUACUGGUUGGCUAGAGUAUGGGAGAGGAUGGUAGAAUUCCAGGUGUAGCGGUGAAAUGCGUAGAGAUCUGGAGGAAUACCGAUGGCGAAGGCAGCCAUCUGGCCUAAUACUGACACUGAGGUGCGAAAGCAUGGGGAGCAAACAGGAUUAGAAACCCUAGUAGUCC